rnacentral:rRNA from 1 species
AAUAGAUACCCUGGUAGUCCAUACCGUAAACGAUGAAUGCUAAGUGUUGGAGGGUUUCCGCCCUUCAGUGCUGCAGCUAACGCAUUAAGCAUUCCGCCUGGGGAGUACGGCCGCAAGGCUGAAACUCAAAGGAAUUGACGGGGGCCCGCACAAGCGGUGGAGCAUGUGGUUUAAUUCGAAGCUACGCGAAGAACCUUACCAGGUCUUGACAUACUAUGCAAAUCUAAGAGAUUAGACGUUCCCUUCGGGGACAUGGAUACAGGUGGUGCAUGGUUGUCGUCAGCUCGUGUCGUGAGAUGUUGGGUUAAGUCCCGCAACGAGCGCAACCCUUAUUAUCAGUUGCCAGCAUUAAGUUGGGCACUCUGGUGAGACUGCCGGUGACAAACCGGAGGAAGGUGGGGAUGACGUCAAAUCAUCAUGCCCCUUAUGACCUGGGCUACACACGUGCUACAAUGGAUGGUACAACGAGCUGCGAACUCGCGAGAGUAAGCUAAUCUCUUAAAGCCAUUCUCAGUUCGGU